rnacentral:rRNA from 1 species
CAAUAGCGUAUAUUUAAGUUGCUGCAGUUAAAAAGCUCGUAGUUGGAUUUCGGUUGAGAGCGGCCGGUCCGCCGUUUGGUGUGCACUGGCUGGUUUCAACUUCCUGUAGAGGACGUGCUCUGGGUUUAACGACCUGGACUCGGAGUCUACGUGGUUACUUUGAAAAAAUUAGAGUGUUCAAAGCGGGCUUACGCUUGAAUAUUUCAGCAUGGAAUAACACUAUAGGACUCCUGUCCUAUUUCGUUGGUCUCGGGACGGGAGUAAUGAUUAAGAGGAACAGUUGGGGGCAUUCGUAUUUCAUUGUCAGAGGUGAAAUUCUUGGAUUUAUGAAAGACGAACUUCUGCGAAAGCAUUUGCCAAGGAUGUUUUCAUUAA